AGGGAUUUAGCUCAGUGGCACAAGCACUUGCCUGGCAAGCAUGAGAUUGUAAAUUCAAUCCCUG
rnacentral:tRNA from 1 species